GUUAAUGUGAAGCAGCGCUGCAUGGUUGGAUAUCGGGUGCAAUAAACGACGUGCUACGCAAGUUCCACUUGGGGCUUCGUGACAUUCGCCAGUGAUUGGUCCACGCGCUGCACCUCCUUCAGACCUAAUUGGGCCUGAGGCUCUUGGACUGUGACUGAGGAAACCCUGCCCUGACAUCUGGACGUGCCUGGCACAAUCCCAGCUGGCCCGCUCUACCUGCUACCUGCUACCUGCCUGUUGCUUUAUAAAAAGCCAUCAGACCAUAGGGUCUUGAAGUGUUAGUACUUUCUCUGUAGUCAUUAUGGAUAUUCAGAGCCUGCUGGCCAUUAAUACUGGUAUUGCUCUUUCCUUAAUGAAAUGGUGAAUAAAGGAAGACUGUGCUUUAAUUUUUAAAUUAAGACAUAAUGAAGACAUUGUUAGAUGUCAUGCAAACUGCAAUUGUGACUUCUUUCCCCAAAGAUUUCCUACGGCUGAGCUAUUUUGUCAGUUAUCAGUUAUUCCAUACCAGGGCUAGAUGAGGCUGAAUGGCAACAACACCACACACAACUGCAAUGCAACUAAUUCAUCUCAUUGGCAGUAGUGUAAAGUAUUUAAGUAAAAAUACUUUGAAGUAUUACUUAAGUAGUUUUCUAGGGUACCUUUACUAUCUAUAUUUUUCACUACUUUUACUUCACUUCAUUCCUAAUGAGAAUUAUGUACAUUUUACUCCAUACAUUUUGCCUGACACCCAAAAGUACUACUUACAAUUUGAGUGCUUAGCAGUACAGGAAAAAGGUCAAAUUCACACACUUAAAGAGAACGUCCCUGGUCAUUUCUACUGCCUCACAUCUGGUGGACUCACUAAACAUAAAUGCUUCCUUCGUAAAUUUUGUUUGAGUGUUGGAGUAUGGCCCUGUCUGUCAAAAAAAGUAAUACAAAUGGAAAUUGUGCUGUCUGGUUUGCUAAAUAUAAGGAAUUUUAUGUAUAGCAUUUACUUUUACUUUGUACUUUUACUCAAGUAUGAAAAUGUAGUACUUUUUCCACCACUGUACUUAAGUACAUUUAAAAUCGGAUAUUUUAGACUUUUUUUCAAGUAGUAUUUCACUGGGUUACAUUCACUUUUACUUGAGUCGUUUUAUAUUAAAGUAUCUUUACUUUUA